AGAGUUUGAUCAUGGCUCAGAGCGAACGCUAGCGGCGGGCCUAACACAUGCAAGUCGAGCGCGUGACUUCGGUCACGAGCGGCGGACGGGUGAGUAACACGUAGGUAAUUUACCCUCUGGUGGGGAAUAACCCGGGGAAACCCAGGCUAAUACCGCAUAUGGCCGUAGAUUUGGUUCUACGGUCAAAGCCUUCGGGCGCCAUUGGAUGAGCCUGCGUCGCAUUACCUAGUUGGUAGGGUAAUGGCCUACCAAGGGGACGAUGCGUAGCUGGUCUGAGAGGAUGAUCAGCCACACUGGGACUGAGACACGGCCCAGACUCCUACGGGAGGCAGCAGUGGGGAAUAUUGGGCAAUGGGCGAAAGCCUGACCCAGCUACGCCGCGUGGGUGAUGAAGGCCUUCGGGUUGUAAAGCCCUGUCGGGAGGGACGAAGUUCUGACGGUACCUCCCAAGAAAGCACCGGCUAACUCCGUGCCAGCAGCCGCGGUAAUACGGAGGGUGCGAGCGUUGCUCGGAAUUAUUGGGCGUAAAGCGUACGCAGGCUGUUCGUUAAGUCGGGUGUGAAAGCCCGGGGCUCAACCCCGGAAUUGCGCCCGAUACUGGCGAGCUUGAGUGCGGGAGAGGGAAGCGGAAUUCCUGGUGUAGAGGUGAAAUUCGUAGAUAUCAGGAGGAACACCGGUGGCGAAAGC
rnacentral:rRNA from 1 species